GAUGAACGCUGGCGGCGUGCCUAAUACAUGCAAGUCGAGCGAACGGACGAGAAGCUUGCUUUUCUGAUGUUAGCGGCGGACGGGUGAGUAACACGUGGAUAACCUACCUAUAAGACUGGGAUAACUUCGGGAAACCGGAGCUAAUACCGGAUAAUAUUUUGAACCGCAUGGUUCAAAAGUGAAAGACGGUCUUGCUGUCACUUAUAGAUGGAUCCGCGCUGCAUUAGCUAGUUGGUAAGGUAACGGCUUACCAAGGCAACGAUGCAUAUCCGACCUGAGAGGCUGAUGGGAAACAAAGGAACUGAGCCACGGACAAGGGUAGUAGUGGAGGCCGAAGUCGGGAAAAUGAAGAAAUGGGCGAAAGUUUGACGGUAUAAACACGCGCGAAUGAUGAAGUCCUGAGGAUAGUAAAAAAGUGUGAGUAGGCAAGAAAAGAUGUGAAAGGAACACAGUAAAUUUUACCGGAAAAUAACAAGACAACAACGGAACGGAACGGA
rnacentral:rRNA from 1 species